GUCUAUGGUCAUGCCAUCCUGAACAAGCCUGAUCCUGUCUGAUCUCGAAAGCUAAGCAGGGUCAGGCCUGGUUAGUAGUUGGAUGGGAGACCACCUAGGAAGACCAGGUGCUGUAGGUG
rnacentral:rRNA from 1 species